rnacentral:rRNA from 1 species
CUACGGGACGCAGCAGUGGGGAAUAUUGGACAAUGGGGGAAACCCUGAUCCAGCAAUGCCGCGUGUGUGAAGAAGGCCUGCGGGUUGUAAAGCACUUUCGGUUGGGAGGACUGCUUCUAGCACUAAUAUUGUUGGAAGUUGACGUUACCUUCAGAAGAAGCACCGGCUAACUCCGUGCCAGCAGCCGCGGUAAUACGGAAGGUGCAAGCGUUAAUCGGAAUUACUGGGCGUAAAGCGCGCGUAGGCGGCUAGAUCAGUCGGGUGUGAAAGCCCCGGGCUUAACCUGGGAACUGCAUCCGAUACUGUCUAGCUUGAGUACAGGAGAGGAGAGUGGAAUUCCACAUGUAGCGGUGAAAUGCGUAGAUAUGUGGAGGAACACCAAUGGCGAAGGCAGCUCUCUGGCCUGAUACUGACGCUGAGGUGCGAAAGCGUGGGGAGCAAACAGGAUUAGAUACCCUAGUAGUC